rnacentral:rRNA from 1 species
AUUGAACGCUGGCGGCAGGCCUAACACAUGCAAGUCGAACGGUAACAGGAAGCAGCUUGCUGCUUUGCUGACGAGUGGCGGACGGGUGAGUAAUGUCUGGGAAACUGCCUGAUGGAGGGGGAUAACUACUGGAAACGGUAGCUAAUACCGCAUAACGUCGCAAGACCAAAGAGGGGGACCUUCGGGCCUCUUGCCAUCGGAUGUGCCCAGCUGGGAUUAGCUAGUAGGUGGGGUAACGGCUCACCUAGGCGACGAUCCCUAGCUGGUCUGAGAGGAUGACCAGCCACACUGGAACUGAGACACGGUCCAGACUCCUACGGGAGGCAGCAGUGGGGAAUAUUGCACAAUGGGCGCAAGCCUGAUGCAGCCAUGCCGCGUGUAUGAAGAAGGCCUUCGGGUUGUAAAGUACUUUCAGCGGGGAGGAAGGGAGUAAAGUUAAUACCUUUGCUGAUUGACGUUACCCGCAGAAGAAGCACCGGCUAACUACGUG